UGCAGUCAAAGCGCACUGGGAACUUAAUUUAUUGAGGAAGAAUACCUCAAAUAAUUUAAGAUGGAAAGAUGUUUGCGGAAAAGAUGGAGUUUUGUCAAAAGCAUUGAAGAACCGAGUUGAGAUGGAGAGAGUCAGGAGGGAGUUUCUUUGCAAUUCUUCACAAGCACUAAAGAUGGAGAGCACUUUUGAUGCUACUAAUGAGAGGGA
rnacentral:misc_RNA from 1 species